AAUGAACGUUGGCGGCGUGGAUUAGGCAUGCAAGUCGAGCGAGAACUAGUAGCAAUACUGGUGAAAGCGGCGAAAGGGAGAGUAAUACGUAGGUACCUGCCCUCGGGUCUGGGAUAGCUGCGGGAAACUGCAAUUAAUACCGGAUGACGUCUCUGGACCAAAGGUGUGAUUCCGCCAGGGGAUGGGCCUGCGUCCUAUUAGCUAGUUGGUGGGGUAAUAGCCCACCAAGGCAAAGAUGGGUACGGGGUGUGAGAGCAUGCCCCCGCUCACUGGGACUGAGACACUGCCCAGGCAGCUACGGGUGGCUGCAGUCGCGGAUCGUCCGCGAGGGGCGCAAGCCUGACGGAGCGACGCCGCGUGCGGGAUGAAGGCCUUCGGGUUGUAAACCGCUGUCAGUGGGGAGCAAAUGCAUCAGGGUUCUCCCUGGUGUUUGAGCGAUCCGCAGAGGAAGCACAGGCUAAUUCCGUGUCAGCCGCCGCAGUAAUAC
rnacentral:rRNA from 1 species